rnacentral:lncRNA from 1 species
AAGGUCACCAUAUUUUUAUUUUAAGUUUUCAAUCUUUUUACUCUUUAUUACACAUUUGGUAAUCUAUGUUAACACUUUCUAAAUUUUUUCAGGGGGAGUCAAAGUUUCCUGAAAUUGACAUGUUCAAGGAGGUGUACGUUUGGCUCGGGGAUGAGCUGAUGAAGCAGCUUCAUGUAAGUUAUUUCAAAUUUUUAAUAUUUAAUUAGUAUUAAUAUUAAUUACAUGUAUAUUCAAAUUAAUUUUUUUUUUCAUUUUUCUAGUCCACCAUGGUGGAGAAAGGCCAGACCAUUCUGGAGGAGGUGGCUUCCCAGCUUCCCUUAG